rnacentral:rRNA from 1 species
CGCGUCACGUUACCGACGUUACGUCCGUUACGUUACCGUUACGGUACCGUUACCGUACCGUUACCGUACGUUACCGUACGUUACGGUUCGUUACGUUCGGUUUACGGUUACGUUUACGUACGUUACGUUACGUUACGUUACGUUACGUUACGUUACGUUACGUACGUACGUACUACGUACGUACGUACGACGUACGUACGACGUACGACGUACGACGACGACGACGACGACGACGACGACGUAACGACGUACGUACGACGACGACGACGACGACGACGAGCGAGUGUAGUAUAGUGUAUANGAUGCAACGCGAAGAACCUUUACCAAGGCUUUGACAUACACCGGAAACACUCAG